UACCUAAAAAUUUGCCUAUUUUAGUUCAUUUAUAGCUACUGUUUAAUUCAAACCUAAUAUUUAAAACAUAUUAUUACUUUUGAACCUUAUCUUUCUUCUAAAUGAUUUAUAUUCUUAAGCGUUUUUUAACAUUUCAUCCAUGAUAUUAGCUCUCACUGUUUAUGCCUCCAUUUUCAUUUGCACAGUGUUUUUGUUUUUAUCACACUGAAAUGAUUUCUCUCCUUUUUUUUUUCAUAUCAGUUGAGCUUCGUUUCAGCGUUCCCAUGUAAUCCCCCGCACCUGCAGAAGUACCCCCUGGAGUAAAAGUAACCCUGGUCAGGAAUUACCCAUCUAGAGCGCACUAACAAGCCAACUUAGAUAUAAAACCCACCUUAUCUUUCCGAGGUCCUGCACGGUUAUCGUCCAAAGCCUCCUCACUGAGCAAAACAGCUUAGCCCCAAAUCUAUGUAAACUGCUGAAUAACAAAGCCGAAUGACGGACUAUUUUUCUUUAAAUUGAAGUGAUGAAACAUCGUGAUGAUGAUGACCCUUAGUGCGCCCUGCAUUCAGCCUAAAACUACUCCAACAAUAUGUGUUGAGGAUAUGUAAUUUCAGCCACUUAGGAUCAUUAAAAGGAGAUCAUAUUGAAUAUCCCUCCAACAGAGGGAAAGAGAAAGCGAGAAAGAAAUAAAGAAGAGAUUUGUUUGUCAGUCAAUUCUGACCCUCUCAAUCUCCUUAGCCUCGUGAAAAAGGGGGAGAAAAAGGGCCGGGGUCAGCUUUCUGUAAAUCUUCUGAUGAAAUGUUGACAAAACAGCCAAUUUUCUGUAAUUUUGCUGCGGCCGUCUUUCAACAGCUUACUCACUCAGAACCCCUUCAUUUCAAACAGCAGCACACUGCGACCCCUGACAUGUAUCUGGUCCUGGACUCCUUUGGCCGCGCAGAAAGACAGUAACAGUUGUGCCUUUUAGGUCAGGUGGAUGGCGUUUAAGGAGCCGGCUUCAUAAAGGACUCCUUUGUCUCUCAAACAGGCUCUCUUGGGCCCCAGUAAAAGGAUAAGAAAUGUAGUUAAUAGCUCAGGAGUGGCCUAAUCAUCAGCUGCCAUUACUGCUCCAAUAUCAGCAGAGAUGACAGACUUAUCAAUAACAAAGGCCCAGCUGAAGCCUCCACCGCUCUGUCAUUUUGAUCUUUGCUCCACUAAUCAGAGCUUUCAUUUGAGCUAAGCACCAGGCAGCACACCUCUCAUUCUCUUCAUGCUGUGCCAGAUAUCACUCAUCUUUACAAGCCACUCCGUAUUCCCCCAACCCCAGGCCACCAUUUCCACAAAUUGGCUUAAUUUCUCAGGCAAAUAUAUGACACAUCUGAGAGCUCAUUAUCCCUGCAAUGCAAGUGAUUAUUGUACUUACUGCUAAAACUCUCUUAGCUUUUAGAAUUGGCCUCGAAUGUCUUUGGUUGGAGUCCAGCUGAUUUUUAUAUUGAAAUGUAGAUAUGCCAAACUGACUGACGUUAAAGUGUAUAAAUAUUCUAUAAGUUUCUGCUGUGUUUGCUUUAAUAGUUCACUUGCAAAGACAAAAAAGAAGAAGUGGUGGGUGUGCUGCAGCUACUCUUUGUCCUAGAAGAGAAAUCAUCGUAUGACUUUUGAUGCUUUAAAACAGCCACAAAUUUUAAUAAAAGUCUGUCAAUCAUGAGUGAAGAUAAGAAAACUCUGUCGUUAAUACAAGAGACAAAAAUGGCAGUCUUUGAAAUAUAACAUAUACUUGUGGGGAUGAUGUAUAUGAUGUUGAAUAGUAAUAAACACACUUUAAUAUCAAUAUUUCUCUUGUUCAUUCUUCCACAAAAAGCUCUUCCAUCAAGACGAAACCUGAGAGGGCCAGAGAGGUGCUCCCGCACCUGCACGAGCUGGCCCUUUCAUUUACAGUCCUGCUGAGGAUCAGGCACUGACUGACUCAGACACCUGCUAUUGGGAAAUAUGUUCUCCAUCAGUGAGCUAUAGACUAUUUCUGGACAGGAGCACUGGGGGACCAUUGUUCUCCACCGCACUGACAGCCAAGGUAUUCUGGGACUCUUGGCACACGUAGUAAACAAUGUGGUAUUCAUGUUAAGCUUAAAAUUUAGGCUACUUAUUCAACAUUAGCAGAGAAAGUGAGAUUAGAGAGGUAUUUGUUGACAGUUUUUCAUACAGAUAUAAAACGCCAUCUUUAAAAUCCAAAUAAAAAUGAUGCGAGAGAGUGCGGGUUUUUGAAUACGUGGGUAAAUAUGGUUAAAUUGAAGUUGCAGAAGUCUCCCUCGCAGACAAAAAUAAAUAUCUAUCUUUCAUCUUUAGAAUAACCUAUGGUCCGAGGCUUAACACAAAACAGUGGAGCUCCUUCUUCCCUCAGUUUGAUACAUGAUAUGAGCUCUUUAAACAAAUCAUCUGGUCUCUGCUCCUAUACAGUCUUAUACAGGGGCGCAGGGGUUUGGGGAUUUUGCAAUGUCAUCUGGGAUUAAAAAGGAGCAGCACAUCAGAGCCCCAGGCCACACCACCUGGAGCCCCUAUAUGAUCCCUGGCGCUGCUCCACUCAGACACCAGCCCCCAUUAGCCCUCCGCCAAAUAAUUCCUGGUCAACCAAAUGACACUGAGCCAACAAAGCCCCAUUUCAGAAAAGAUUACAACUCCAACAGGAAACCCUUUGAUUAUGACUUUGUUUGAAAUGUUAUCAAUACCAAGAUCAUUCCUGCGGAUCAACAAAACCAUCUCUAGUCCCCCUCCCUCGGCUGCACCUUCAGUUGUGCAUCCAUCUCCUGAGAAAGAAAAAAAAACGGACGGGAAUAGAGGGGUGAUUUGUUAAACAAGAAGCACGUGCAAUGACAAAGCGACUCCU